rnacentral:rRNA from 1 species
UACGUAGGGAGCGAGCGUUGUCCGGAAUUAUUGGGCGUAAAGCGCGUGUAGGCGGUCCGGUAAGUCCGCUGUGAAAGUCGAGGGCUCAACCCUCGAAUGCCGGUGGAUACUGUCGGGCUAGAGUACGGAAGAGGCGAGUGGAAUUCCUGGUGUAGCGGUGAAAUGCGCAGAUAUCAGGAAGAACACCUAUGGCGAAGGCAGCACUCUGGGACGGUACUGACGCUGAGACGCGAAAAGCGUGGGGAGCGAACAGG